UUUCAGUUAGCUCAAUUGGUAGAGCACCGACCUUCUAAGUCGGGUGUUGUUGGUUCAAGUCCAAUACUGGGUA
rnacentral:tRNA from 1 species